rnacentral:tmRNA from 1 species
GGGGGCGAACAGGUUUCGACGGGCUUGCACCGGCGAUUGUUGCGUGCCGUGGUGCGGGUGGCCACGUUAAAACCCGCAAAAAAAUAAGUGCCGACGAUCACGUCGAGUACGCUCUCGCUGCUUAAUUAAAAACUAAGUAACGAGACGAGAUCAUCCCAUUGCCGAUGCUGGCGAUGAUCUCCCUAAUACUCAUCGGCUGGCUGCGGGAGCUGUCUGACUACCCGCGGCGAGAGACAUCAGGCUGGUCCCUAGCUCGGGUUGGCAGCUGCCUUGGCCAGGGAUGAGAACAAAAUUACUGCCUACGCAUGUAGACGCGUCGUACGAACUGGUCCGGACCCGGGUUCGAUUCCCGGCGCCUCCACCA